UGUGAUCCUGGCUCAGAUUGAACGCUGGCGGCAUGCCUUACACAUGCAAGUCGAACGGCAGCACGGGAGUAAUCCUGGUGGCGAGUGGCGAACGGGUGAGUAAUACAUCGGAACGUGUCCUGUAGUGGGGGAUAGCCCGGCGAAAGCCGGAUUAAUACCGCAUACGCUCUACGGAGGAAAGGGGGGGAUCUUAGGACCUCUCGCUACAGGGGCGGCCGAUGGCAGAUUAGCUAGUUGGUGGGGUAAAGGCCUACCAAGGCGACGAUCUGUAGCUGGUCUGAGAGGACGACCAGCCACACUGGGACUGAGACACGGCCCAGACUCCUACGGGAGGCAGCAGUGGGGAAUUUUGGACAAUGGGGGCAACCCUGAUCCAGCAAUGCCGCGUGUGUGAAGAAGGCCUUCGGGUUGUAAAGCACUUUUGUCCGGAAAGAAAUCUUCUGCCCUAAUACGGCGGGAGGAUGACGGUACCGGAAGAAUAAGCACCGGCUACUA
rnacentral:rRNA from 1 species